rnacentral:rRNA from 1 species
GGACUACCGGGGUAUCUAAUCCUGUUUGAUCCCCACGCUUUCGUGCAUCAGUGUCAAUAAUAGCGUAGCGAGCUGCCUUCGCAAUGGGUGUUCUAUGUCAUAUCUAAGCAUUUCACCGCUACAUGACAUAUUCCGCUCACCUCCACUAUAUUCAAGACAGAUAGUAUCAACGGCAGUUUCUAAGUUAAGCUUAGAGAUUUCACCACUGACUUACCUGCCCACCUACGCACCCUUUAAACCCAGUGAAUCCGGAUAACGCUUGCACCCUCCGUAUUACCGCGGCUGCUGGCAC